AGUUACCAAUGAUGAGUCUCGUAGAUAUGGAAAUAGCAAAGUCAUUGUUGAGUCAGAUGUUGCAGAGAUUGCUGUGAGUUAUGAUGGCACAUGGGCUAAGCAAGGGUUCACUGCAAACUUUGGAAUUGAUUUUGUUAUUUCUGUUGACACUGGUGAGGUUCUUGACUAUGGUUUUGGAUCCAAAUUAUCGAAGUUUGACAUGUUUAUCUGAACAGCCAGUUGUCAAAAGAUGAAGUAGAAAUAUUUUCUUAAAGCUGUGACAGUUUAAUAUCAGUUCAACUGAUUCAGUUGGGGAACUUGUGGAGGUGAAUUUCAAAAUAGCGAUGCCACAGAGAUGAUGCCAUGUGGACCUUGUGGCUUUCACCUUUGUGGGCAAGCUGGUCGUGCUGUGUGUUCAAACAUGAAGAUGAAGCCGAUUUCGAGGGAAUCUUUCAACGUGCUAGCCAGUAAAGAUUUGUGUUGGAUAUGUUCCUGUUUCUUCAGAAGCCAAGGCUUCCUAGUGGCCACGUUGCAUUUUGAGGUAUAUACUUUGAUGAUUGGAAUUUACCCUCUUCGAUAGCCAAGGUGAGAAAGAUCAUUGUUAAGUUUUAUCUGACUCCAGGAUGUAUUUGAUAUGUUAUGCUGAUAUAGACAGAGCCACAGCAUCGGCAUUGCAAAUCCUACCUA